AGGUCCUUUAAAAUCAGUCCCGCGAGGCUGAAAAGGAGUCGGCGCUGGCAGUCUUUGGUCAGGCGCAGAAUGCCUAUCACCCUCGCGGUGGUGGGCAUUUUUUUGA
rfam:Lactobacillus thailandensis DSM 22698 = JCM 13996 strain DSM 22698 Scaffold1, whole genome shotgun sequence.